UACGUAGGUGGCAAACGUUGUCCGGAUUCACUGGGCGUAAAGCGUAUGUAGGCGGCAAAGUAAGUCAGGCGUGCAAGCCCGUGGCUCAACCACGGAAUUGCGUUUGAAACUACUUAGCUUGAGUACAGGAGAGGAAAGCGGAAUUCCCAGUGUAGCGGUGAAAUGCAUUGAUAUUGGGAAGAACAUCUGCGGCGAAGGCGGCUUUCUGGUCUGUUACUGACGCUGAGAUACGAAAGCCAGGGGAGCAAAGGGG
rnacentral:rRNA from 1 species